CAGUCGCCGCGGUAAUACGUAGGGUGCAAGCGUUGUCCGGAAUUAUUGGGCGUAAAGAGCUCGUAGGCGGUCUGUUACGCCGGCUGUGAAAACCUGGGGCUCAACCCCGGGCCUGCAGUCGGUACGGGCAGACUAGAAUUCGGUAGGGGAGACUGGAAUUCCUGGUGUAGCGGUGAAAUGCGCAGAUAUCAGGAGGAACACCGGUGGCGAAGGCGGGUCUCUGGGCCGAUAUUGACGCUGAGGAGCGAAAGCGUGGGGAGCGAACAGGAUUAGAUACCCCCGUAGUCCCUGUCUCUUAUAC
rnacentral:rRNA from 1 species